GACGAACGCUGGCGGCGUGCUUAACACAUGCAAGUCGAGCGGUAAGGCCCUUUCGGGGGUACGACGAGCGGCGAACGGGUGAGUAACACGUGGGUGACCUGCCCUCAGCUCUGGGAUAAGCCUGGGAAACCGGGUCUAAUACCGGAUAUGACUCCAUGACGCAUGUUGUGGGGUGGAAAGCCUUGUGCGGCUGAGGAUGGGCCCGCGGCCUAUCGGCUUGUUGGUGGGGUGAUGGCCACCAAGGCGACGACGGUAGCCGGCCUGAGAGGCGACCGGCCACACUGGGACUGAGACACGGCCCAGACUCCUACGGGAGGCAGCAGUGGGGAAUCUUGCGCAAUGGGCGAAAGCCUGACGCAGCGACGCCGCGUGAGGGAUGAC
rnacentral:rRNA from 1 species